AACGAACGCUGGCGGCAGGCCUAACACAUGCAAGUCGAGCGAAGCCUUCGGGCUUAGCGGCGGACGGGUGAGUAACGCGUGGGAACGUGCCCUUUGCUACGGAAUAGCCCCGGGAAACUGGGAGUAAUACCGUAUGUGCCCUUCGGGGGAAAGAUUUAUCGGCAAAGGAUCGGCCCGCGUUGGAGUAGGUAGUUGGUGGGGUAAUGGCCUACCAAGCCGACGAUCCAUAGCUGGUUUGAGAGGAUGAUCAGCCACACUGGGACUGAGACACGGCCCAGACUCCUACGGGAGGCAGCAGUGGGGAAUCUUAGACAAUGGGGGAAACCCUGAUCUAGCCAUGCCGCGUGAUCGAUGAAGGCCUUAGGGUUGUAAAGAUCUUUCAGUGGGGAAGAUAAUGACUGUACCCACAGAAGAAGCCCCGGCUAACUCCGUGCCAGCCGCCGCCGUAAUAC
rnacentral:rRNA from 1 species